rnacentral:tRNA from 1 species
GACUUAAGUUAACAAAACUAAAAGCCUUCAAAGCUUUAAUUGGUAAUAAGCCAGCCCUUAAACCCCAAAG